GUGGAGCUCUGUGUUGUUUGUGGAGCUCUGUGUUGUUUGUGGAGCUCUGUGGUGUUUGUGGAGCUCUGUGUUGUUUGUGGAGCUCUGUGUUGUUUGUGGAGCUCUGUGUUGUUUGUGGAGCUCUGAUGUCUGUGGAGCUCUGUGGUGUUUGUGGAGCUCUGAUGUUUGUGGAGCUCUGCUUAUUUCAGCACUAGCAGGUUAUUUCCAUACCUGUGAAGGCAGAGUGGGAUCAGAUCAGCCUGUCAAAUCUCUGUCUUACAGACACACAGAAGCACAAGCUGACUUAAGUCUAAAGAGCUGCAAGACUAGACUAAAUGCUUAAUUACUGUAGUCGGAUUAGGGUUCAGUGGAUAUAUUCAGACUGACCCUGUCUCUGUGGUGAAGUAUUCAGCCCAUUUAUCUCUCUUGCAGGUCACAUAUUAACCCCCUCUCUCUGGCAGGUCACAUAUUAACCCCCUCUCUCUGGUACGUAACAUAUUAACCCCCUCUGUCUGGCAGGUAACAUAUUAACCCCCUCUCUCUGGCAGGUAACAUUUUAACCCCCUCUCUCUGGCAGGUAACAUAUUAAACCCCUCUCUCUUGCAGGUAACAUUUUAACCCCCUCUCUCUGGCAGGUAACAUAUUAAACCCCUCUCUCUUGCAGGUAACAUUUUAACCCCCUCUCUCUGGCAGGUAACAUAUUAAACCCCUCUCUCUGGUAGGUAACAUAUUAACCCCCUCUGUCUGGCAGGUAACAUAUUAACCCCCUCUCUCUGGCAGGUAACAUUUUAGGCCCAGGUCUGACAGAAUCUGUGCAGAAGAUCUUGGUGCUGCUUUAGGCCCUCCUUGGUUGGGGACAGAAGCACCAGAUCAUCAGUAGACAUUUGACUUCAGAUUCUAGUAGGGUGAGGCUGGGUGCUGCCGACUGUUCUAGUGCCCUCGCCAAUACCUUGAUAUGUAUGUUGAAGAGGGUGGGG
ensembl:lncRNA